GGGCCCGCACAAGCGGUGGAGUAUGUGGUUUAAUUCGAUGCAACGCGAAGAACCUUACCAGGGCUUGACAUCCUGCGAACCUCUGGGAAACCGGAGGGUGCCUUCGGGAACGCAGUGACAGGUGGUGCAUGGCUGUCGUCAGCUCGUGUCGUGAGAUGUUGGGUUAAGUCCCGCAACGAGCGCAACCCUCGUCCUAUGUUGCCAGCACGUAAUGGUGGGAACUCAUGGGAUACUGCCGGGGUCAACUCGGAGGAAGGUGGGGAUGACGUCAAAUCAUCAUGCCCCUUAUGUCUUGGGCUUCACGCAUGCUACAAUGGCCGGUACAGAGGGCUGCAAUACCGCAAGGUGGAGCGAAUCCCAAAAAGCUAUCUCAGUUCGGAUUGUCGUCUGCAACUCGACGGCAUG
rnacentral:rRNA from 1 species